GUACAUGCGCCCGGUGGUUGGCCGCCUGCUGGCGAACCAAAUGCCGUAAAUACUGCUCCGUAUCAAAUGAUCCAGCUAGGCCAGCCUGAUGAGGUGGUGACCUGCGGAGCAUCCCCCUUGGCCUGUCUCUGCGUGCAAUACUUCUCAAUAAAAGCUCGGGUGAUGGGCAGCCAAAUCACCUUGCUAGGUGCGACGGGGACUCCGAACGACUGGCAGAGUCCUGUGAUCAAAGCGGGAAAUCCCAG
rnacentral:lncRNA from 1 species